ACUGGGUGUGGUGGCUCAUGCCUAUAAUCCUAGGGACUCAGGAGGUUGAGGCAGGAGGAUCACAAGUUUGAGGCCAGUCUCAGCAACUUAGUGAGGCCCCAAGAAAUGAGUGAGACCCUUUCUCAA
rnacentral:sRNA from 1 species